rnacentral:rRNA from 1 species
GACGAACGCUGGCGGCGUGCUUAACACAUGCAAGUCGAACGGAAAGGCCCUGCUUUUGUGGGGUGCUCGAGUGGCGAACGGGUGAGUAACACGUGAGUAACCUGCCCUUGACUUUGGGAUAACUUCAGGAAACUGGGGCUAAUACCGGAUAGGAGCUCCUGCUGCAUGGUGGGGGUUGGAAAGUUUCGGCGGUUGGGGAUGGACUCGCGGCUUAUCAGCUUGUUGGUGGGGUAGUGGCUUACCAAGGCUUUGACGGGUAGCCGGCCUGAGAGGGUGACCGGCCACAUUGGGACUGAGAUAUGGCCCAGACUCCUACGGGAGGCAGCAGUGGGGAAUAUUGCACAAUGGGCGGAAGCCUGAUGCAGCAACGCCGCGUGCGGGAUGACGGCCUUCGGGUUGUAAACCGCUUUCGCCUGUGACGAGGCGUGAGUGACGGUAAUGGGUAAAGAAGCACCGGCUAACUACGUG